rnacentral:lncRNA from 10 species
AUCCACUUAGUCUUCCAUGAAGACAUGAUAAGGGGUACAUAGUAGCCGCAGCAUUCACAUCCGGUAGCUCUUGACCACUGAGGUUUGCAGUUAAUGGUGGCCUCGCACACUGAAACAUGAAGCUGAACAGUUUACUCCAGCCUUGUUAGGUUGGAAUCAGCCACUUGAAUAAAGAACACCACUUCAUUACCUGCUCUUGGGUCAAGCUGAAAGGAGAAAGAGCAUCUCACCAGAUGUCCCAUGUGCCGGGGCUUCAGUGUUCUCAGGGAUUCCAAGUGUGUUCAUUCCAGAGAAUUCUCAAUCAAAGCGCGACCCCAGGCAGACACAUUUUCACACCAGCAUCCCCACAGCAUGUGUGGAAGAAAGGGGGGUUGGAUUUGUGUAGAUCUAAGUCAAACUAAUUAGCUGUCAGCUGCAUCACAUCUGGAGAUCAAAUAUAAAUUUUUGGCCUCAAAAACCAUUCCG